CACGUAGGGUGCGAGCGUUGUCCGGAAUUAUUGGGCGUAAAGAGCUCGUAGGCGGUGUGUCGCGUCGGCCGUGAAAACCUGCAGCUUAACUGUGGGCUUGCGGUCGAUACGGGCAGGCUGGAGUUCGGUAGGGGAGACUGGGAAUUCCUGGUGUAGCGGUGAAAUGCGCAGAUAUCAGGAGGAACACCGGUGGCGAAGGCGGGUCUCUGGGCCGAUACUGACGCUGAGGAGCGAAAGCGUGGGGAGCGAACAGG
rnacentral:rRNA from 1 species